CUCAUGUCAGGUCAGGGGGCAGGAGCCCUGAGAGGCUGUAGGGACGCACAGCCUGCUCUGGGUGCUGUGCCCUGUUCAAGAUGGGCUAUUUCACUUGAUGAGGCGGCCUGGGGCUAGAAAGCUGUUCUUCCCUGCUCCUCCCUUGCACCUGCUGACCGUCACUCUUUGUCUUCCUAGAUUCCACCGAGGAUCUGAAGGUGGAACUUUCGAAGAAGGAAAAAACUCCAUGGAAAGUGAAGGAGGCCUGGAGAGAGCAGGAGAGUGGAGGGUGGCCCAGCAGCAGCUCAGCCCGUGCUCUCGCCCACCUCCUCCACACACGCCAGCCCUGUGUGCCCAGCACCCAAGGCUGCCAGAGGUCCUUCAGCAGCUCCCACGGCUGACAGUGACUCUGUGUUUCCUAGCGACGGUG
rnacentral:lncRNA from 1 species